UACGAAGGGGGGCUAGCGUUGUUCGGAAUACUGGGCGUAAAGCGCACGUAGGCGGAUCUUUUAAGUCAGGGGUGAAAUCCUGGAGCUCAACUCCAGAACUGCCUUUGAUACUGAGGAUCUUGAGUUCGGGAGAGGUGAGUGGAACUGCGAGUGUAGAGGUGAAAUUCGUAGAUAUUCGCAAGAACACCAGUGGCGAAGGCGGCUCACUGGCCCGAUACUGACGCUGGAGGCACGAAAGCGUGGGGAGCAAACAGGG
rnacentral:rRNA from 1 species